CGAUAGCGUAUAUUAAAGUUGUUGCAGUUAAAAGCUCGUAGUUGAACUUCUGCUUUAAGGGAUCUGGCAAAUAUGUUCAGUUGUACUUUAGAGCAUCCCCUUUGAUGACGCGGCAUGCACUUGGUUGAGCAGUCGUUGAUUCUAGGAAUUUACUUUGAAAAAUUAGAGUGUUUCAAGCAGGCGAUUAGCUGGAAUACAUUAGCAUGGAAUAAUAAUAUAGGAUCUUGGUUCUAUUUUGUUGGUUUCUAGAGCUAAGAUAAUGAUUAAUAGGGACAAUUGGGGGCAUUCGUAUUGACGAGUCAGAGGUGAAAUUCUUGGAUUUCGUCACGACGAACUACUGCGAAAGCAUUUGCCAAGGAUGUUUUCAUUGAUCAAGAACGAAAGUAAGGGGAUCGAAGAUGAUCAGAUACCGU
rnacentral:rRNA from 1 species